CAUAUCAAUAAGCGGAGGAAAAGAAACUAACAAGGAUUCCCCUAGUAACGGCGAGUGAAGUGGGAAAAGCUCAACUUUGUAAUCUGGCAGCUUCGCUGUCCGAGUUGUAGUCUCGAGAAGUGUUUUCCGCGCUGGAUCGUGUAUGAGUCUGUUGGAAUACAGCGUCAUAGAGGGUGAGAACCCCGUUCGUGACACGACUACCAGUGCUUUGUGAUACAUUUUCGAUGAGUCGAGUUGUUUGGGAAUGCAGCUCAAAUUGGGUGGUAAAUUCCAUCUAAAGCUAAAUAUUGGCGAGAGACCGAUAGCAAACAAGUACCGUGAGGGAAAGAUGAAAAGCACUUUGGAAAGAGAGUUAACAGUACGUGAAAUUGUUGAAAGGGAAACGUUUGAAGUCAGACGUGCGUUGUGCGAUUCAGCUCCGGUUCGCCGGAGUGUAUUUCGUACUAUUGCAGGCCAGCAUCGGUUUGGCGAGCCGGAUAAAGGUUAGAGAAAGGUAGCGGUCCAGGCCGUGUUAUAGUCUUUAACUGAAUACGGAUUGCUAGACCGAGGGACGCAGCGCGCCGCAAGGCAAAGCUUUCGGGCUUUUCGCGCUUAGGAUGCUGGUGAAAUGGCUUUAAAUGACCCGUCUU
rnacentral:rRNA from 1 species